ACUUCCUCUUAGACAUCAGUACAAAAACACUGAAACUUACUGCAGUCACAUGACAAACACACAUUUUCAGAUUUAUGGAGGUGAAAGGACUAGAAAUUUUACAGUGACUUUUACAUGUUCCCACUUGCUCACUUUUACUGGACUGUUCUGGACAUUGUCACUGAUGUUGAAUUCAUUUCUGAAUAAAUGCAAGUAUUCCUUGACUUUGAAAUAAGCUCCACUCAGUAUAAAAGUUUUCCUUUCAUGCUGUUUUUUAGGUUUUUAUUUACGUCUUUUAAGCCCGACUAUUACUAGUACAUGGACAUCAGAGACAGCGGUGUUCAUGUAUACAACUGCCAGAAGUGAAUAAAAUACAGAAAUCAUGCAAUAACUAACCUGCACACUGAUGUGCUGGAUAGGCUUUGCGACCUCGGCUUGCUGCGGAGACCAGGCCUCCGGUCCUCGGCGUCACCUGAUUUUGGAGAUCAGGUGAGGAGAAAGCUAAAGUGGUGCUCGAGGAAGCGGAAGCGUGAGACGUAGCUCAGCGACAGAGUCAUGGACACUGCCAUUCAGCUAGACGGGCUCACCUCAUUUCGAGCUGACAGAAAUGCAGCUCUGUACGAUAAGUCUCGCAGUGGAGAUUCCUGCAGUCAGACACUGAUCGAGUCUGAUCCAGUGAUCAUCAAACCUGAUCAGUCUCAUAAACUGACCUGCACAGCAUCUGGAUUUACCUUUAGUAGCUAUUACAUGGCUUGGAUCAGACAGGCACCUGGAAAAGGGCUGGAAUGGGUUGCAACUAUCUCAGAUGGCAGUAGUUACAUAUAUUACUCCAGUGCUGUUAAGGGCCGCUUCACCAUCUCCAGAGACAACAAUAAGAUGCAGGUGUAUCUACAGAUGAACAACAUGAGGACAGAAGACACUGCAGUUUAUUACUGUGCCCGUGAACCACAGUGAUGCUUCCCCUUAGACAUCAGUACAAAAACACAGACUUACCAUUGACACAUGAAAAGAUCACAGACUGUAACAAACAAUAUUACAAAAUUUAAACUUUAAUUUUAAUUUUUUUAUUGUAUUUUUCUUUUCUUUUUUAAAGCUGCUUUGAGAAAAUAUCCAUUGUUAAAUGUGUUAUAUAAAUAAAGUGAUUUAAAUUGACAGAUUAAAAACUAUGGAAGUAGAUGUUCACAAAUCUGGGGAA